ACCCAGUAAUAUGUUACUAAUGUAUAUUUGUUAAUGAAAGUUUUGUGUUUUUUAUUGAAAUUUUAAUUGCAAUUUUUUAUAUUCUAACAGACGAUCAUUAAAUAUGAUAGAUAAACAAGUAGAAAAGAAUAUAGUAAUACAUAAUACUCUCCUCAUAUGUAAUACUCUCCUUAAACGUAAAUCAAAUUGUUUAAACCGGAUAUAAUGAUUAAAUGUUGUAUCGGCAUGGUUUUAUCUGUCUACUUUGCUUUUUCAAUUUGGUUGCCAGCUUCAACCUAAUUCUUGAUUUAGAACUAUGAUUUUGAACUAAAACAUUUCCGUGUUGAAUAAAAUACUAUUUAUUCUUAACUGUAUUUUUUUUGAGGCUUCAGUUAUCAAAUGUUGGUGGUAAUUUUAGUUAUGCCACUGUGAAAGCAUCGAUUGUCAAGUAGACAUAAAAAGUUUGAAGUAUGCACAAAGCCUGAAAGUGUCAAAUAUGGAACCUAAAAAAACCUGCCUUUGCCACUGACUGUAUAAAGGUUUUUUAAGGUCUGUUUGUCAAGCGUCAAGUCAGGUUAUCUUGGUACUGGUACCAUGUAGUACAUACUGCUUAAGCAGGUUGUACGCCAUCCAUACGACAUUUAGGCAUCUGUUAGUAAAAUAUUGCUGCAAAUCUUUUUGAGAGAGCCAUUACUAUGGAGAACCAUCUAAACCAUACAAGUGUGGAAACAUGGAUGUAAAUCUAUAUUAAUGUGAAAUAAACUGAUGAGUUUAUUUAACUUAGCUGGUAAAAAAAAGAGCUGUCGUGAAACAAAUUUAAUGAAGACAGUUAUAGAAUGAAGUUCAUUCAUUUGCUGGCAACAUUUUUAAACGUGGUCUAGAUCGAAAAAAUUUGGUGCCAGAAAUAGUCGAUAGUGGAAGUGAUAGAUGCAUCGAACCUAAUUUGUAAUUAAUUUCUGUAAAUAAAUUCCACUUUACUA
rnacentral:lncRNA from 1 species